rnacentral:misc_RNA from 1 species
GCACUGAGCCACCAUGUAAGCCACAGCCCUGAUUAGUGAAACCUUCCUCGCCAAGAACAGUCCAAAACUGACCGCCGGGUUAAUAUGACCACCUGCACCCAAAACAACCAAAACCCAUAAACAAACACCUCUCAAAACCAACUAGAUGCAGAGUAUUUUUCAAGUAGAGAGAUGGCUUUGAGUAUACAAAACAGAAAAACACUAAUUCGCAUACGUUUCGUUAAAUGGAUUACAAAAAUAACUAAAUUUCAUCAAAUAACACGAUUUGCGCAUGCAUAAUUUAGAAGGUAGUUAAGGCGUAGAAAAAAGGUUUCUUACCGGAGAUACCAGCAGUGCAGUAAACCAGAAUGAAAAUCAUGCCACCAAAG